GAGGGCUGAGGUGUUCACACCUGCCCACGGCAGCCUGCCUCGCCCUCAAGCGCCUCAAAGCUUCCUAAGCGCUUACAUUGGUCUUGGGACAGCCGACUUUGGCUUCUUUGUUUGUUUGAGGGACCGCGGAAGUGGCGGGGAAUGUGCCCCCGCUUGAGACCGCUUAUUGUGAGCCCUCAACGGAAAUCCUGCACGGAAGGCAACCGCCUCCCCGCUCGCGAAGGCUUCAUUUGCUCUGAGUUAUCAUUGAGAACUAAAUGGAGAAGAAAAGAACUGAAGGCCUGAAGAUAUGUCAUCUGUAGAAAAGAUGGACAUCUGAAAUCAUCAAACCCUUGAGAGAAACAGCCCUCAUUCUUUUAUGAGACAACCUGGAAGAAAACAGGACUCUGAAGAUUUGUCUCCAUAUUCUCUGGAAAGAUGUACUCUGUUUGCAAUAAGAGGGAGCCACAUGGUUUAUUAGAUGGUUAUUAAUUGAGCAUUCUGUGCAAAGAAGUUUGUGCCUUAGUUAUAUUGAAAAGAAGAAAAUCUCUCCAGUUUCAGAAACACUGGCCUUUUGGAUACUGAGGAGUUGGAAAUGGAAAGGGGAUUUUAAUGAGUUUCUCGGCAAUGAGGCUAGAGAAAAUAUUAUCCAUCUCCCCCUGUUCUCCAAUUCAGCAGCUCGGACUCCUGUUUUCAUCACAGUCCUGUUAGAUAAUUACAGCCCCAAAGGCCUCCUGUUCCUUCUUUCUGUGUUCCCUGAAUCUUCUUUCCCAGAGCCAGGACCUCUUGGAAAUUCUCAGCCUCUGUUAGUUGCCCGCUCUGGGAGCCCGACUCCUCACAUCCGUCAUCUCUUUCUUCUCCCCCUUCACCUGCUGUAGUGUCCCCACUGUCUCUCUUUACCUCAGCUCCUUACCAUUCCUUUCCCUCUACACCCUUUUCCUUUGGUUCAUAGUCAGGAUGUGCUAGUUGCAUUCAAGCCCUUUUUGAUACUAAGAAUUCAGGGGGACAAAUCCAAACCCUGGAGACUACUGUCUUCCCCUUAGUGAUGCUAAUGAAUAUAAUUCCUGAUCUGAAAUUACCUGCACUUUAUUUGGCUCCAUCUACUUUUCUGCCACUUACUCCCUGUAUAACCAUAGGCUACGUACCCUACCUCUCUCUGGGUUUGUUUACUCCUCAGUUAAAAGGAGGAUUAAAAUGGCAAUCACAACACCUUGCUACAGAUAUGUUAGGAAGAUUAAAUGGGAUAACAUGCAGGGUGCCUAGCCUUCCUGGCAUAUAGUAAAUGCCUAUAAAAUAUAACAAGUGUCAUGUAUUAUUAUUAAAUUGUAUCUACCUGGUAGAAAAAAAAAAAAAAA
rnacentral:lncRNA from 1 species